UCGAAUAUAACCACACUUUGCAUUAAGUGAGAACUGCUAGCUUUUAUAGAGAGGCAUGGUUUGGGCAUUAAAAUGACAGCACACUUACUUUAAUAAAUAGGCCUUUAUUUAAUUAAUAAAUGUCUUGGACAAAGUCUUCAAAGCCUUCUAAGCAUUUGUAGUAAAUGAUGUGAUCUAUAGAGGAAAGAAGGUCUCUGGGGGAACCACCAUGCCAUGUGCUUCUGGCGUCAUCCCAUCUGUUUAUUAUGUAGUACAGAUCUUCUCGAUAAAUCAUUGUGCUUUGGAAGUGUAAGUUUCUCAUUUAUUCUGCCACACUUGCCAAAGUACAGCAGAGUUAGGAAAGUUAUAAUAGCCUGGUAUUUCAUUGGUUCUAGACGUACAAACUGACAGGUAUUGUUAAAGAACCCAAAUCACUGAUUCAAUAAAAAGAGCAAAUAACCUCAGGAUCUAACGCUGUGCAUCCUCAUGGAGGUCAAGGACAGAUACAGACUCAUUUUAGGUCUUUAAUGACAUCCAGUCCAUUUAUCUAAUCCACAGCCUUUUGCUCAUUUAUCAUUCACUUGAGAAAAUGAGUCUCACAAUGACAAGUUCAAAUGCAUUUGACCUUUAGCUAUAAAAGAGAUAAUUCGUUUACUUGGAAUAGAUAACUCUAUGAGAAGAUUCUAUUAAUUAGGAUUCCUUUUGAAAGUCAGAAGCCCAGCCAAAUUUCUAUAGCAACUCCAACAAUCCCACAUAGAGUGAGUUAUAUUUAUUGUGUUCUUGAUCUACUAUGUAUUUAAAUAUAUUACAGGAUAAAAAUAUACUGGAUUUGGUACAGGUUCAAACACCACAGGUAGGUCACUGAACAUACAACCUGUCAGGCAUUACUGGCAAAUUUCAGAAAGCUGAUAAAUGUCAGUUAUUGAAUGUCUAGUUCACCGGCAACAUAAUGUCUAGUUCACCAGCAAACAUAAAACCCUCACAGUGACAUUCUAUACUGAUUUGUAAUAUAUCCCAACUGAGGAUCACAGGGGUUAGACCAUUCGUUCAAGAUGACAUAACAGAGCUGCAAUUCAAAUCCAAGUUCGUGUGACUGCAAAUACAUGCCCUUUCCACUCUGCUGGUUUCAUGAAGUUCUAUACAAGCUUAUCAAAAGGAAAAAAAAAAUUCAGUUCCUGUGUUACAAAUGUCUGAUUUGUGAAUAUUUUAUAGGACACUGCUUCCCCUUCCACACCGCUGAUUUUUUCAGGUUACUCCUUAAAUACCAUUCUGUUUACUCUGCCUAGUAACUAAAUAGGAAUGGUGUUGUCACCUGGAAACCAGGGUAAGGAAUUGACCUCUUUUCCUAACUUUUCACAUGCCUUGCCUUGCCUAUAGCCAGGUGCCUUUCUUCAACCUCUCACUGAUAGGCAAUAGGUGAAUUCUACCCUCAGUCUCUUUUACUUGUAUUUGCAUCAUCAGUAAGCAACUCCUUACUUCCCUCUUUUUUUCAAAGCUUGCCCAGUUUUUUAAAAAUAAUCAAACAACCCCUUUUCCCAUAACCUCUACCUUGCAUUAUUUAACUUGUUAUUUCAAGAGUUUUCCCAAUUGUGACCGACAAAUGUAAGAGAGCCAAUAACACCUAAAACCAAGGGGCCAUUAAUGUCCAAUGGUCUGAAACUACUCAGAUGUCCCCUUCCUGCAAGCCUCUGAUAAAAUUAUCUAACACAGUGUCAUUCCACAAGCACAGCACUUCUGAAAAAUAAUAAUAAAAAAACACUUUUAUGUCUUAAAAUUUUGUAAUGACAAUAAUUGGAACGGCACUGUAUUCUUCUCUUUAUUUCAAACUGAACAUAAUAAAUUAGAUGGAUUUUGGGGAUAUGCCUGCUUUGUAACAUUACGUCUAAUGGAAAAUAUAUUCUGAUUCCAAACGACUGACUGACAAGUAAACUGUAAUGUGCUAUUUUUUUAAAACGGACUCCUUGUAUUCUAUGUUAUUAGAGAUGCAUAUUUCCACUUUGAUUGUCUUUGGAUGAUCAAGUUGCUUUCGGUACCCUCCUGUCUUCUGGCCUUUCCCUCCUCUAGUUCCUGAGUAGAUGAUAACUUCACAAGAGAGACCUAGCUGGGAAAGGUGGAGCUUGCACAUGAAAAAAAACAUGUGCUUUUUGUGUGAAUUUCAAAUCUAAACUUUUGAUUAUCCAUGGCUUUGUCUAUACCAUCUUCCCUUUCCUUUUGCUUAGUGAUUAGUAAUCUCUUUAUUAAACAAAGUAUACUUUUCUUGGCUGAACAGACAUAUACUGAAUAGAAAAAGUAAGCCAAGGGAUUUCUCUUACUGCCUUUAAUUAGAACAGACCCAGCGGAGAGAAGCUGGAGUGAAUGGCCCACUAUGUUUGAAAGAAUUCAAGAAUCUAACUAUAGUUUAAAAAAAAAAAAAAAAACCUUUGUAAAAGAGAUGAGAAUUUAUAAGAA